rnacentral:rRNA from 1 species
AUACGGAGGACGCGAGCGUUAUCCGGAUUCAUUGGGUUUAAAGGGUGCGCAGGCGGCCGUGCAAGUCAGCGGUGAAAGCCCGGGGCUCAACACCGGAAGUGCCGUUGAUACUGCAUGGCUGGAAUGCGGUCGAGGCGGGCGGAACGUGGCGUGUAGCGGGGAAAUGCGUAGAUAUGCCACAGAACGCCGAUAGCGGAGGAAGCUCGCCAGGCCUGCAUUGACGCUCGGGCACGAAAGCGUGGGGAUCGAACAGGAUUAGAUACCCUGGUAGUCCACGCCGUAAACGAUGGGCGCUCGUCGUCGGCGGCAGACAGUCGGCGGCCAAGCGAAAGCGAUAAGCGCCCCACCUGGGGAGUACGGUCGCAAGGCUGAAACUCAAAUGAAUUGACGGGG